rnacentral:misc_RNA from 1 species
GUAUUGUAUUGCGUUAAACGCGACUGCAUUCCAUGAGACUUUGUUACUGUGUGUGUGUAAAUACGUAGGACCGCAGCAAGGGGACGGGUCCCCAGGCCAUGGAACUACAGAGGGUGCACAGGUGUGAGUGGAUGUGUAGACAGAGCGUGCACAUGUCCCCUUUCGAGGGCCAGCAACAGCUCGUGUCGACAGUUCGGUAAUGAUCCUUCCGCAGGUUCACCUACGGAAA